rnacentral:sRNA from 1 species
AUCUUUUAGAAACAAUUUUUUUUUCUAAACAAUCAAACAAAAAGGAACAGAGGGAGUAUUUAAUUGCAUCAGUUACAAUUUUGAGAAACUCUCUUACUAAAAAUAAU